rnacentral:lncRNA from 1 species
UUAUUUACAUUUUACUUCCUUACUUUUAUUUUAUGACACAAUGCUAAUCACGUAAUCGCCUUUCCCUCUCUAUUUUUCUCUCUUGUUACAAAACUUUCUUUCUCGCGCUCUUUCCUCCAUUUUGGCGAUUUAGGGUUCAGAGAAGAAAACUUUCUCUCUCCUGAUGAAAUGGCAAGAUCUCUUACUCCUUCUAAUCUACCAUUGUCUUUUGUACUACUACGAACAUAUAUGAGUACUUCACUAGAAUUUUCGUUGUUUUAAAGUAAUUUAUCGGUGCGAUUUUGCGAGAUUCACCUUGGUAAAGUACUUUGUAGCUCUUCGUCCUCUCCUUCCUAAUCUGUUGAAAGAUCAAAUUGGGUUUUUGAUUAUGUUUUCCUAAUCUCUGAAUUUCAGUAGUUUUUGCAUGUGCUUUUGAUUUAGGUUUUCUCUGCUCAACUUUGGUUAUAGAAGAAGAAGGUUUUUUGCCCACUUCAAAACAGUAAUUAUAAUAGUACUGGGUGGUUAUAUUCUUGUUUCUGGUAGGAUGAACUUUUCUUGAUUAUUUUUAAUAUAGAAUUCAUAGUUUAAUUAAGAUGAAUGGGAACUCAAAAAGUGAAUAGUUUGGUGGGUCCAUGAGUAGAUUUAAUUCAUGUGCAGAGGCGAACCCAAAAUUUUGAGUUUACGGGUUCCUAUAACAAUUUCAAGUUAAUAUACAAUAAUAACUGGGUUCAUGAUCAAAUAUAUAUACUGAUAUUUGGUGAAUUUCUUAAUAUAUAUACUGGGUCUAGAAAAAGCUACUUGGUUCACGUGAAGCUCUAAGUUCCCCUUAUAUCCGCCCUAUUCAUGUGUACAUGUAUUGUUCUAUUAGCAGUUUCGGUUGCUCAGGAAAAUGAUACGAUUCUUUCGUUUCUUUGGGCCACUGGCCAUCCGCAUUUGAUUUUUCAAUAGAAAGGUAAUAACCCUAGACCCUUGCCCCGAGAAAUAAAUUAAACCAAUUAGAAAGAUGAUCUAAUGUAGUUGAAAGAACCUACAGGAAUGGCUGAUUUGUGGAUAAUAAUUAUAGCAAAACAAUUUGAAAAAAGUAGAUAAAGAAUGAGAAGAAUCUGAAAUCUACUAAAAUGCCUAACAUUCUGGGACCACAAAUAAUAAAUAUGUCAACGUAGUUUUGUGAUUUAUAGAUCUCAUAGAUGCAAUGAGAAAAGAAAAACCUGAAAGAAGUAUUAUUGCGAAAAGUUUAAAUUUUGACAUAUUUGCCAUUUUUUGCCGCUCACAUGUAACAUAAUAUGGAUAUACCACUAAAAGAUGGAUAAACAAGUUACUUUAAAAUAAAAACCAUUAUCUUCUUAUUCAUCACUGGAUGAUAACAGGUCGUAAUAGGUGAAAUUUGCAAUUUUUUCUAACAGAGUUCUUAUGUCUAUAUCUGUUGUUAAGAGAGACCAAAAGGAGUAGCAAUUAAACAAAGAUCAUCCUUUCUUCCGCCAGCUACCCCAAUUGUUUCGGUCAUAUUUAAAUUGUCUGGAGCAAUUCCAUGAGGAGUCUUCCAGUCGAAGUGAUAAAGCAGUUGAGCUAAAGGAUGUCCGACAUUAACUAAACCAAAUAACAGUCCCGGACACAUUCUUCUUCCUGCACCAAACGGAAUAAAUUCAAAGUGGUUUCCUCUGAAAUCAAUAGAAUUAUUCUCAAAUCUCUCAGGUAUAAAACUUUCCGGAUUAUGCCAAUUUGUAGAUUCUCUUCCAAUUGCCCAUACAUUCACCAGAACUCUAGUUUUGAUGGGUAUUAUAUAUUUGUCAAUUUUUGUUUCUUCUCUGCAUUCCCUUGGGAUUAAUAGAGGAACAGGAGGGUGCAACCUUAAUGUUUCUUUAAUCACUAGGUUUAGAUACUUCAACUCUUCUAGAUCAAUAUCCUCAAAUGUUCUCUUUCCUUUUAGGACUUCUCUAACUUCAAGUUGUGCUUUAGCCAUAACACUUGGAUUUCUUAUCAUUUCAGCCAUAGCCCAAAUAAUUGUUGUAGCUGAGGUUUCAGCUCCUGCUAAGAACAUGUCCUGCAUGUAAAGGCUAACGUUUCAAUAUUGUACUCUAGCAUAAAUAUUAACUUCAAUGUUUAAAUACUAUAAAUAAUAAAAUGAAAAAAGAAAACAAAAUGAAAUAUCUCAUAUGGUAUUAGACUUACAAAAAUAACACUUUUGAUAUUCUCAUUUGUGAUUGGAGUUCCCAAUUCGCCACUCUCCAUGACUCGAAGUAGAACAUCGAUCAAAUCUUCACCUCCAGUCUCACCAUUGCUCUUCUUUCCGUUAGCUCGACUUUCCUGAUGCUCAUUAAGGAUAUUCUCCAAAAUUGCAUCUACCUUUUUGUGAACCUUCAACAUUUUGGACUUCAAUCCAGUAAUCUUGUGAAGCCAUUUUCGGGAAGGGAACAUAUCAGCCAAGUCAAAUCCUGCAGCUAAUGAUGAUAUGUCCUUCACCAACAUUAUCAACUUAUCUUGAUCAUGAAUCACUUUCCCGAAAGCUGACCUACAAGUUACUGAACUUGUAAACCAAAACAUUUUGUCUGAUAAGUUAAUCAAUGAGUCAUCAGGCAUGGAGUUAACGGAUGAAAUGAGACUUGACAUCUGUGCUUGUCGAAUUGAAUUAAAUGACUUGACCAUCUUUGCGCUAAGAAGUUCCACGAUGCACACUUUGCGCAUAUUUCUCCAGUGAUCACCAUAUGGACAAGUUAUAAUGUCUGUGUAGUUGUAGAAAAUAAUAUCUCCGGCCAUAAAUUCAGGCCUAGUAGCAAAGCGAAGGUCUUGAGUUUUCAUAAUUUCUUUUGCCAUCUCAGGUGAAGAUACAACAAUGAUCGAUAUUUCUCCAAGACGUAAGUGAAAGAUUGGCCCGUAUCUUCGCGAUAGACUUCUGAGAGUAUGAUGUACUGGAAGGCGGCCAUUCAUAAAUAGGUGCAAGUUCCCAAUCAAAGGUGGACUCCAUGGC